CCUACGGGAGGCAGCAGUGAGGAAUAUUGGUCAAUGGACGCAAGCCUGAACCAGCCAUGCAGCGUGCAGGAUGACUGCUCUAUGGGUUGUAAACUUCUUUUAUACGGGGGUAAAGUGAGGCACGUGUGCCUGUCUGUAAGUAUUGUAUGAAUAAGGAUCGGCUAACUCCGUGCCAGCAGCCGCGGUAAUACGGAGGAUCCGAGCGUUAUCCGGAUUUAUUGGGUUUAAAGGGAGCGUAGGUGGUUGGUUAAGUUAGUGGUGAAAUCUUGAGGCUCAACUUUGAAAUUGCAAUUGAUACUGUCAGGCUAGAGUGCAGUGGAGGUAGGCGGAAUGUAUGGUGUAGCGGUGAAAUGCUUAGAUAUCACGAAGAACACCGAUUGCGAAGGCAGCUUACCAAGCUGCCACUGACGUUGAGGCACGAAAGCGUGGGGAGCAAACAGGAUUAGAUACCCGUGUAGUC
rnacentral:rRNA from 1 species